rnacentral:rRNA from 1 species
UAGGGAAUAUUGGGCAAUGGAGGGAACUCUGACCCAGCCAUGCCGCGUGCAGGAUGAAGGCGUUAUGCGUUGUAAACUGCUUUUAUAUAGGAAGGAAUAGUCCUUGCGAGGAAAGUUGACGGUACUAUAUGAAUAAGCACCGGCUAACUCCGUGCCAGCAGCCGCGGUAAUACGGAGGGUGCAAGCGUUGUCCGGAUUUAUUGGGUUUAAAGGGUGCGUAGGCGGUUUAUUAAGUCAGUGGUGAAAGACGGUCGCUCAACGAUUGCAGUGCCAUUGAUACUGGUAGACUUGAGUAUGAUUGAGGUAGCUGGAAUGGAUAGUGUAGCGGUGAAAUGCAUAGAUAUUAUCCAGAACACCAAUUGCGUAGGCAAGUUACUAAGUCAUAACUGACGCUGAGGCACGAAAGUGUGGGUAUCAAACAGGAUUAGAUACCCCUGUAGUCCCUGAGCGGGCUGGCAAGGCGCAU